rnacentral:rRNA from 1 species
CCUACGGGUGGCAGCAGUGAGGAAUAUUGGUCAAUGGUCGGGAGACUGAACCAGCCAAGCCGCGUGAGGGAUGAAGGUACAGAGUAUCGUAAACCUCUUUUGUCAGGGAACAAAGGCGGGGACGUGUCCCCGGCUGCGUGUACCUGACGAAAAAGCAUCGGCUAACUCCGUGCCAGCAGCCGCGGUCAUACGGAGGAUGCGAGCGUUAUCCGGAUUCAUUGGGUUUAAAGGGUGCGCAGGCGGGCCUUUAAGCCGGCGGUGAAAUCGCGGGGCUCAACCCCGCCGCGCCGUCGGACAUGGGGGCCUUGAGUGCGGCGGAGGCAUGCGGAAUGCGCGGUGUAGCGGUGAAAUGCAUAGAUAUCGCGCAGAACCCCGAUUGCGAAGGCAGCGUGCCGAGCCGUCACUGACGCUGAGGCACGAAAGCGCGGGGAUCGAACAGGAUUAGAUACCCUAGUAGUC